rnacentral:tRNA from 1 species
UUAAUUGAAGCCAAAAUUAGAGGCAUUUUAUUGUUAAUAAAAAUAAUGAACAUUGUUCCAAUUAAA